CAAAGGUUUACUGAAUUUUAAGGAUUCUUGGAAAAUAUCUAAUUCAACAGUACUUAUUUUCAGGACAAGCAUCUAAAGCACAAAGGUGUUAAUGCACUUGUUCAAAAUUACGUGAUACAGCUUUGUCACUCAAUAUCAAGUCUAUUUCCUAAUUGCUGCAGAUAAAGAUGUGCAAGGAACGCUCUUAGGCAUUUCUGUGCAUCUGUACCCCAGACAAGGUAACAGCAGCCACCCAACCACAGGGAAGGAAAAGAAAGCCAAACUCCAGUCCAAGG